UCCUACGGGGCGCAGCAGUGAGGAAUAUUGGUCAAUGGGCGGGAGCCUGAACCAGCCAAGUCGCGUGAGGGAAGACGGUCCUAUGGAUUGUAAACCUCUUUAGGCGGGGAGCAAUGCCGGGCACGUGUGCCCGGAGGGAGAGUACCCGCAGAAUAAGCAUCGGCUAACUCCGUGCCAGCAGCCGCGGUAAUACGGAGGAUGCGAGCGUUAUCCGGAUUUAUUGGGUUUAAAGGGUGCGUAGGCGGAUUUUUAAGUCAGCGGUAAAAUGUCCGGGCUCAACCCGGGCUGGCCGUUGAAACUGGGGG
rnacentral:rRNA from 1 species